UGAUAAUUAUUAUUAAUACAUUUGACUUUAGCUGAAGGUUAAUCAGGAAAACCGGAGGAUUGUGUAUACGAUUAUAUUAACUGGUAGUUUAGACUGCUAGUUAAUUUAGUUGCGAGUCGAUAAACACUUUAAUUUGAAUAUAGUAUUAACCGUCAUUUAAGUCCUAUUAACUGUUAGUUAAAAGCAAUUUAAAAAAAACCGGCC